CCCUUAGAUGUCCGGGGCCGCACGCGCGCUACAAUGGAUGAAUCGACGCGUCAUCCUGGCCCGAAAGGGUUGGGGAACCGCUGAACCUCAUCCGUGGUUGGGAUUGGGGUUUGUAAUUAUUCCCCAUGAACUAGGAAUUCCCAGUAAGCGCGAGUCAUAAGCUCGCGUUGAUUACGUCCCUGCCCUUUGUACACACCGCCCGUCGCUACUACCGAUUGGAUGGUUUAGUGAGAUCCUCGGAUUGGUCACGGCACGGUGGCAACACUGCGUCGGUGUGCCGAGAAGACGAUCAAACUUGAUCAUCUAGAGGAAGUAAAAGUCGUAACA
rnacentral:rRNA from 1 species